CGGUGUGUAGCUCAGUUUGGUAGAGCACUUGGUUUGGGACCAAGGGGUCGCAGGUUCAAAUCCUGCCGCACCGACCA
rnacentral:tRNA from 1 species